rnacentral:rRNA from 1 species
AUUGAACGCUGGCGGCAUGCCUUACACAUGCAAAUCGAACGGUAACGGGCCUUCGGGUGCCGACGAGUGGCGAACGGGGGAGUAAUACAUCGGAACGUGCCCGAUCGUGGGGGAUAACGAGGCGAAAGCUUUGCUAAUACCGCAUACGAUCUACGGAUGAAAGCAGGGGACCGCAAGGCCUUGCGCGGACGGAGCGGCCGAUGGCAGAUUAGGUAGUUGGUGGGAUAAAAGCUUACCAAGCCGACGAUCAGUAGCUGGUCUGAGAGGAUGAUCAGCCACACUGGAACUGGGACACGGCCCAGACUCCUACGGGAGGCAGCAGUGGGGAAUUUUGGACAAUGGGCGCAAGCCUGAUCCAGCCAUGCCGCGUGCAGGAUGAAGGCCUUCGGGUUGUAAACUGAUUUUGUACGGAACGAAAAGCCUUCUUUUAAUACAGGAGGGUCAUGACGGUACCGUAAGAAUAAGCACCGGCUAACUACGUG